rnacentral:lncRNA from 1 species
ACUAAAUCUUCAGUAUGAUAAGGUUAUGCAGGACUAAAAACUGGGUAGCAAUAAAUGGGCUUUAGAAAACAAAGCAUGCAGGUUUUCCCAGGCACUUUCAACUAAUGCAAACAUAUACAGUACAGAAAAGAGAAGAUGUAACUUUUCUCUGAAAAAAAGGUUUAUUGCAUAUGGAAAUCAAUAGAUAUCUUUUACAAAAAAAGGUUAGAAUAAAGAUCUCACAUUUGUAAAGGCACAUAUGAAACAUUUUAUAGCAAGCACAAGGGCAGUGAGAACAUCAACAAGGUCCAAUAUCUAAAUAAGACUUUAUAAAAACAGAUAGGAAACAGUGCAAAAAAUACUGUCAAAGUCAGUUCUAUACACCUCAUAACUGUGUAUACAACUGGCAAGCAUAAGCUUAUUUACUGAUAUAAAAUAGCACAUAGAAUAGCAUGCAUAGUUUUAUUUUAGGCUUUUCAUAUUAUUAAAUUGAUAGGGAGUCUAUACCAAAGUACAGUUGACAUGAAUAGUGAUAAAAAUCACUCCCCAGCUUAGGGAAUGUCCUAUAAACAUCUCACCCCUCCCUCUGCUUACAACUACAGUUUGGUAGUAAGGAGACUGGGCUUCCAUCUUGCAAGGUGGCAAGCGGCCACCACAGGGGGCGAAUGUGCUCUCAGGAUCCCAAGUCCCAACCUGGAAUGCAUUUCUUACGGCAACAACAUAAGAGAUGGUGAUUAAAUGUCUGGGUCAGCCCACAAAAGCCAACCAGAUCUGGCUAUCACAGCCCUCCAUUUGGGCUGUGGUGGAGGUCAGUGGGCUUCUAUGGGCUGACGCAAGAACCUUAAGAACAAACCGGUUUCUAAGUUGGGGACUUGUCUGUACAUCGUUUCAAAAUGAAACCUAAUAAAUGUCAUUUGUUUUGAAUGAUACCAAAAUUCACAACAUUUUGUGAAACAAAGAUCAAGGAAAGCAUCAAAAUACUGAAGUAGGGAGCACAAGCCUAGUCCAGUGAAACAAACUAGAUUAGCUUGUUACUUGAUGUAACACAAGUUACAUAAGGUUACACAUUUAUUAGUAAUUUGCAUAUUUAAACCUUUUUUUCCACUGAAGUAUCCUCAAGCACAUUAAUUAGCUAUUGAAGGAACAAAGGACAUACAUAGGAACUCAUCUCUGAUGAAGAGUAGCUUUAUGUCAGAAAGGAGAAGGCUAAUGAAUUUUUAAGAUUCCAAACAGUGGCAAGAAAGUUCAAAGGAAAUUGCAGUAAAAUUGUACAAUGUUCAAGUUGAAAAAAAAAAUGGCUCUGAAUUACAGCAUUCAGUUCUAUGCUCAAGGUAUGUAUUAGCUAACACUGCAGUUGUCAGAGGUGGGAGGCCCCUGAGAAAUGCUGAGAAUGCCAGGCACCCCAGUUCUGAGAGCCACCCUAGCUAAACUCAAAGCAGCAUUCUUGAGAUUUUAGCAAAAGGCUCCGCCCCAAGCCACAAAAAGAUCCCAAUCCAAUCUUUUCAGCUUUAUCCUCUAAAACCUUUUGUCAGAUGAGAUAGCAUUUGUGUUUCCCAGGAGGAGAAGGUUGGGGAAGAAAAUGAAGAUAGCUUACAUACAGAUUUUGGAUGACCCGCUAAUCUUUCCCCUUCCUAGGUAAGUGAAAACAGAUAAAAUGUUUCUGGGCAGCCCAAAGGUUUACCACCUGUUUCACUAGAAUGGCCAGUCUGUGUAAAGAGGCUAUAAUGACGAAAGCAUUUUCCCUGCAGGGAGAAGCUAGAAACAAAUGGGUCUUCCUAUACAUCAGUCUGCCAAAUGCAGCCUCUCUCAAUCUAUAUAAGUUCACCUCGAAAUACAUAUUAAGUACUGCUGUCAUCAUUGUUUUAAACAGAGCGUCUUUCAUUUUUUCUAAUAGUGACUGAUUCUAUCGGCAAGGGAACAAAAGGGUGAGAAAGGGAGCUUCCUGCUUGCUGAGUUUUCUAGCUAUUUUCAUUCUGGUUAUUUUCAUCCGCCAGAUCUUUUUUUUUUUUUUUUUUUUUUUUUGAGACAAAGUCUCACUCUGUUGCCCAGGCUGGAGUGCAGUGGCAUGAUCUCGGCUCACUGCAACCUCCACCUCCCGGGUUCAAGCAAUUAUCCUGCCUCAGCCUCCUGAGUAGCUGGGAUUACAGGCAUGUGCCACCAUGCCUGGCUAAUUUUUUUUUUUUUUUUUUUUUUUGUAUUUUUAGUAGAGACGGGAUUUCACCAUGUUGGCCAGGCUGGUCUUGAACGCCUGACCUCAGGUGAUCUGCCUGCCUCAGCCUCCCAAAGUGCUGGUUUGAUUACAGGUGUGAGCCACCACAUCUGGCCAUUUGCCAGAUCUUAUUCUUUGAAACUAUACAAGCAAUUUUUAAAAAAUUAAAAUAAGAUUUCCUAAUUACAUAUUUCUGAGAGGUUUAAGGCAAUGAUUCUCUGACGAGGAUUAACUCUUACAUCUGGGUUGCACUCAUAGGGUAGGUAAAGAAAAGAAAAAGUGUACUGUUGAGAGUUGAUCCAUAAAGCAGAUGGGGAAAUAUGAAAAGGCAGCAGAGGCUGGGUGUAAUCCCAGCACUUUGGGAGGCCGAGGGGGGUCAUCACGAGGUCAGAGGUUUGAGACCAGUCUGGCCAACAUGGCAAAACCCCGUCUCUACUAAAAAUAUAAAAAUUAGCCGGGUGUGGUGGUGCACGCCUAUAAUCCCAGCUACUUUGGAGGCUGCACUCCAGCCUGCGCAACAGGAGUGAGACACGAUCUCAAAAACUAAAAAAAAAAAAAAAAAGAAAAAGAAAAAAAAAAAGGCAGCAGACCCUAAGUGAACAAGGUGCUCAUGGAAUGAAGAGGGUGACAGCACACAACAGUCCCACCCGUUCCCCUGAACAAGACAAGGAACACCAAAGUCACUGCAUGUACAUCCCAGUUUUGUGGCCUGAAUAGAAACAUGACUUGCUCUAAAGGGGAAUGUCCUCUGCAGCACCUCUGAGAUCACAGGGGAGAAGAAUCAAGAAAUCCAAGAGCCGGGGCUGCUAACUCUGGGAGCCACAUGGGUAAGCAGAAUGCUCUGCUAACAAGCAAGGCAAGGAAAGGCUGCCCAGUAGCUCCAGCCCUCCUGCCUUGUAACUCAAUGUCCUUGAAUUUAUUUUUAAAAUGGGAAGGCUAAAAACAAAGCUGCAAACGGUAGGAACUGAUGCACAUCCUCUUCUUUACUGUACCAAACAACAAUCAUUUUCCAGUCUAUGAAAUUGAUGGAUGCCAGACACUCAAUGCUAGGCUCAUGGACAUUUUAAUAGAGAAUAUCUUAGUUUGGCUUUGAGAAAGAAGAUGCAGCUAUAUUAAGCUGAAAAGAUAAGAAAGGUAGUCUACUGAAUAAAAAUACUUACCUAUCUGAGUUUCUAACAGAAACACAAAAGCUGAGAGCAGGCUGGAUAAAGGCUGAGUGUUGAUGGCGCAAGCUGGUGGUCAAGUUUCACAGGGCCCCCUGAAUAACACUGACUUCUGGACAACACAUUUGAGGUGGCAGAAUUUGAUGAGAUUUCCCCCACAUUUCUCCCUGGCACGUUGCUGUUACUUUCAACAGACGCCAUCUGUAAGGUCCUUUGCCCCAAAAUGUCUUAGAAGCUUAAGUAAAGACAAGAACUAUUUUGCUUCCUUGCUCAGCGUUCAAGAGAAGUAUCAAAUGCAGUUUAACAUCUUACAGCUUUAUUUCCACCCUAUAGGGCCAACUAGUGUGCCAACCAUAAGGCUGUAGGCCAUUGGAGAAUUUGUGUGGUUUCUACAGAAGACCCAAAUUUCUCCAUUUGGAAACCAUGCUGGAUGAGCUGUUGCUCUGCUCAUGAAAAGAAAUCACUAAAUAAGAGCAUGAUGAGUGUCUCAAAACCAUUGGCAAUAUAAUAAAACACAGCAGCAGAAUAAUUGUUGGUAAAACAUGGGAAUGCUCAAUUCCCUAAAAGGGCUACCCUAAGAGCCCAACAGUAAUUAUGUGGUGCUUCCGGAAAUGUCUUACUCUAGGAGCUCCACAGAGUUAUUUCUGACACUGAGUAAGAACACAGGUCUGACUCAAUCCCAUCCCUUGAAUCUGUGCUCCCUGGCACACAUCCUAGAAUGCCCUGUACCCUCCAUCCCCCCAACCCCCGCACCUCAAGGGAUUGACAGAUCUUCCCCAAACGAAAAUCAGUAACGAAAUAGUUGUCCUUUACCAAAGGGGGCAAUCAAGGACCCUCUGAGAAUACCAGAAUCCAUGGAUGUUCAAGUCUUUUAUAUAAAAUAGCACAGUAUUUGCAUAUAACCUAUGCACAUCUCUUGCAUACUUUAAAUCAUCUCUAGAUUAUUUACAAUACCUAACUCAAUGCCUACACAUCACUUCAUUUGUGUGAAUUCAAUGUAGUAUUCAGCAUGUGGCAAAUUCAACUUUUGCUUUUUGGAACUUUGUGGGUUUCCCCUCUUCCCCAAAUAUUUUUCAAUCUGUACUUGGUUGAAUAUAGGGAUGUGGAACCCACAGAUAGGGGUGGUCAACUGUACUCAUCUUCACCAUCGAAUACACCAUUAGAUGGGGAAAGGGAGACUAGAAGGCACAUUCUGCUUUUUGACAAAGGACACUUUUGGGACCCAUACGUCACGUAACAAGUAGGCUGAGGUCAGCUAAUACAGACUGUUCAUCGGGAAAGGACAGCAGCUAAAAACUCCAGAGUGAUAUGCCUGAUGGCCAAUCCGGCUUAAGAGAAGCUGCAGUGCACUAUCUACCUCUGCAACUUCCAUGUCCCAGGAGAUGGCCCAUUCACCAAGUGAUGCAAGGAUCACUAUGAGCAGGGCAGCACGUUCGUGAAAAGAGCUGGGCCACCCAGGGUAUACCUUUUGUGUUCAUUAGCACUGCUCUGGAGAAAUGACAUCUGGUGUUGGGACCCACAGUGUAUCAGGGGGAAGAUAUAGGUGAUCCAUGCGAGUACUGUCUAUUUGCAGAAAAUAUGGUCCAUUAUUGGAAAUUUCAUAUGGGUCAAUCUAUAUUAAGCUGGAAAAAUAAUCAGCUGGAUGAAAAGGCCAGCCUGCUGUACCCACUGGAGUUUAUAACUGAAAAGCACAAGCUGAAAGAAAGCAGGAUAAAGGUUAAGUAGGUGUAAGCCAUGGUCAAGUCCUACAAGGCCCACCCUCAGCAGUCUACAAAGACCCUCUCUUCAGGCUGAUGAAAGAGGGGGCCAGAGAUGGCCAAGUGACUCUUAGGAAAACAAUGACAGUUUAGCUAUAAUUUUAAAAAGCGGUUCCUCUUCUCAAUCUACAAAAUUAAAAGUAAAAUUCUCUCAAUUUAAGCUCCUCAAAAGCUUACGAUUCAAAAUAUUCCACAUAGGUAUUUUUACCUUCCCUGAUCUUAUUGUUUAGCUCCGACUGAAUAUUGCAGCUCAUUCAUCUUUACUCCUAUGUAAUCAAUGUUUAACAUCCUUUUUUCAUGCAACUAAAUCCUCCUUUACUUCCUAUCUGGGGAAAGAAGUGCAUACCAAUGUCUAUGCUAUCUGUAAAUGCUACCAGAUACUCUUGCUAAAAGAUGGUAUAUCCAGUAUAUCCUUAGAACCCAAGGAAACCUAAGAAACCUCAGCAGGACAUUCCUCAGCUAAGCCAGCAGGCUCAUCUCAAGGAUGAAGACAUCAAAUUCAGCCCCCAUGAUUCAGGGACCACAGUAAACAAGGAUGAAUACCUCGGGUCAAUGUAUCCAAAUGAGUGUGGAUGAAAGAAACCAAACAGUUCAACUGGAAAACCUCGAAAACAGCGGCUGGAAAAUGUUUGAUGGCUUUGUUGUGAGAUGGUAACUUUUUUUUCCUCCAUUUUACAUUUUCUCCCUUCAAAUCCAAACUGCAGCAAUAGACACUGACAGCUCCAGCUUCAGACUUGAUACAUCAUCAGGAAAUCAUUCCAAAAGCUCUAACUAGAUAACUAAUUUAAUACACUUUGCUUCAAGGUUUAUUCCUUGGCUUGCUUCCCAGAUAUAAAGCAUCUCUGGGCAAUUAUUAUGCAGAUGCCACCGAAAGGACUUUAAAUGGCUGCUGCUAAUUUAACAGGAGAUAUGUUGGCAUUUACUGGAGAUGUGAAAAGGAAUGCAAAAUGUGCUAAAGAACCAAAGGCAUUUGUUUUUAAAAGUGAAAUAUGUGGAACAACUCUUAAAUGUUUUCUUUUGGGUUUCAAUAUAAACUUUGGCUAGAAAGUUGAAUAUUAAACCUACUUCCUCCCUGCAUUUUGUACACUAAUGAAUAUUCCCGUAGCAUACGGCAGGGACAGUGGAUGAAUUUCAGGGAAGCCCAUGAGCUCUGACGACCUCAAAGACGCACCAGAUCUAUAUGCUGUCCACAUGAGACAUAUUCUAACAGUGCCCACCUUGGGGCUUAGAGAUAAAAGAUAAAUACUGAUGUUGUUCAUCACGCAAUAAACCAGUAACUGAGACCACUUGCUAAAACAUCCCUAACAGCAGAAUAUCCCAAGGAUGGAAAAACCUCCAAGGAAAGGAAACAAGUAUCUUUUUGCUUAUUGAUGAGCUUCUUAUAAUAAGGGUUAUAAGCUCUGUUCACUGAAAAUACAUGUAAUACUAAUGGGUUUCUUUCCAGGACAUACAACAAAACUCCAGAAUCUACAAAGAUCAGCAGAUUAUACUCCUUCACUGAGCCUUCAGACCUUGAAGUAGAAGACACAGGGGAAGCCCUCCAUCCCCAGAUAUUCCGAGUCUAACUAGAGUACAGCCACCACAACACCUGGCCAGGUUGAAACAGAGGAUUCCUAUUCCGAAGAACUUAAUGGGGAAUAUAUACCUGUUGGCAUGUGGUGAUGGGAUGUCACAAAGGCAUACUUUUUCUGGUUGAUUUGAUGUCACUCCAUCUUUUUAGCUCACGGGGGACAAAAGCAGCAAUGAAGAAAGGCAUAUGGAACUCUCACAGCAGUCAAUUCUAAGAAAAAAAACUGCAAUUAAAUUUUCCUUUCUCCUAACAUCUAGUUUUUCUUGACAACCUUUUUUCCUUUUUUUUUUUUUUUUUUGGAGGCAGGGUCUCUCCGUAGCCCAGCCUGGACUACAGUGGCAAGAUCACGGCUCACUGCAGUCUCGAAUUCUUAGAAUCAGGUGAUCCUCCUGCCUCAGCCUCCCGAGCAGCUGGGACUACCAGGGCAUACCACCACGCCUGGCUAAUUUUUGUACUUUUUGUAGAGACGGGGUUUCAUCAUGUUGCUCAGGCUGGUCUCGAACUCCUUAGCUCAAGCAAUCUGCCCGCCUUGGCCUUUCAAAGUGCUGGGAUUACAGGUGUGAACCACCGUGCCUGGCUGACUACAGUUUUUUAAUUGCACGUUUGUUCUUUGAACUGACCACUGUGGGCAUUCCAUGCCUUCCUCCACUGCCGCCUUUUUCCCAAGCUGAAAAGACAAGGAAGAUGUGGCAUCAAAUUAACUAGAAAGAGCACGCCUGUGACUUCCCAUCACCACGUAACAACAGGUGCAUAUCAAAGCUGUACUCAAGAAAAGGUAGACAUAGAAUGAUAAAUCCCCCAAAAUGCAGUAAGAGGAAAAAAGUACAAAACAUGAUUUAUUGUGUACCAUCCUUGGAAAUUCAGAAGGACACUGACCAAUGAAGCCAUAGGAAGAAACUAAGAACUGGGCUUCAAAGUGAAGAUAACUGACCAGCGAGUGGAUUUUAUGAAGAAAAGGAAAGAAGCACAGGGCUCUGCCAAUGACAAUUCUACCAUCGUUCAUCAAGUGGCCCCAAGUUUGGACUAUGGGGUCCCGAGUGGGAUUAAUUCUGAUCUUGCAGACCAAAGCCUGAAGAUGAUAUCAGCACAGCGGGGGUCACAUUUGAUGUGUUUCCUGGCCAGGACCCCUGUUAUGUAGCUAAAUGCCUUACAGCUCCCAUAAAUCAGCUUCCCCAUCUGUUUCCUUGAUGGCCUUUCCAAUGACUUAGUGACCUCAACUUUUAGGUCUCUGUCCAGCACACACAUCUUAUUUAAAUAAAAAACAAUGAUCAUCAAGGCCCUGCCUGAAAAACACAAUCCUCAAAGGCCCUGCCCAACUCCUUUCUCUUUCUAGGUCUGCUAUCCUCUCUCAAUCAGGGUAGAGCCUUAACUGCACAGAUGGUCUGGUCCAGAGCCUCAAUGCCACCAGACAGGGUCCUACUGAGCAAACAGGAGAGGUAGCAACAAAUACCCAAGGUACAGUCGCCAGCAGGGAAACACAAGCUCCAGAGCCCAGGAUAAGGGGUGGUCAAGAAAAGCACAACACAGAGCUUGUCUUUCGGCCCCAAAGAUGGCAAUUACUGCAUUGUAAAGGCAGCACUGUCUUUAGCUAUUCUGUCUUUAACUCAAGCUUGGGGGGGAAGUUGGGGUGGGGCGUGGGGGAGAGGAGACUACUGAGGAUGAGGGGUGGAAAUGAAGACGAGAGGAAACUGUCUAUCAAGGCUCAUGAGCCCCAAAAUAUAAGAGAAUCGUGUUUGUUCCUUCAGACCCUUUUCUUUAUAUUUCAGGAUGAAUUCAUUUUCUUACCGUCUUUGCUUUGGAUAUAAGCAAUGAAUGAUGAAUGAAUCAAGCUGAUAAAUGAAUUAAGCUGAUGAAUUUCAGGGUUGGUUACAAAUCUGGCU